rnacentral:rRNA from 1 species
UGCCGGCGAGCGGCGGACGGCUGAGUAACACGUAGGAAUUUGCCCCAAAGUGAGGGAUAACUGCCCGAAAGGGUAGCUAAUACCGCAUAUGGUCUUCGGAUUAAAGGAUUUAUCCGCUUUGGGAGAAGCCUGCGUUGGAUUAGGUUGUUGGUAGGGUAAUGGCCUACCAAGCCGACGAUCCAUAGCUGGUCUGAGAGGAUGAUCAGCCAGACUGGAACUGAGACACGGUCCAG